rnacentral:rRNA from 1 species
UACAGAGGGGGCAAGCGUUGUUCGGAAUUACUGGGCGUAAAGGGCGCGUAGGCGGCCUGCUAAGUCGAACGUGAAAUCCCUGGGCUCAACCCAGGAACUGCGUCCGAUACUGGUUGGCUUGAAUCCGGGAGAGGGAUGUGGAAUUCCAGGUGUAGCGGUGAAAUGCGUAGAUAUCUGGAGGAACACCGGUGGCGAAGGCGACAUCCUGGACCGGCAUUGACGCUGAGGCGCGAAAAGCCAGGGGAGGCAAACGGG